UGGGGAAUAUUGCACAAUGGGCGCAAGCCUGAUGCAGCGACGCCGCGUGGGGGAUGACGGCCUUCGGGUUGUAAACUCCUUUCGCUAGGGACGAAGCUUUUUGUGACGGUACCUAGAUAAGAAGCACCGGCUAACUACGUGCCAGCAGCCGCGGUAAUACGUAGGGUGCGAGCGUUGUCCGGAAUUACUGGGCGUAAAGGGCUCGUAGGUGGGUUGUCGCGUCGUCUGUGAAAUUCCGGGGCUUAACUCCGGGCGUGCAGGCGAUACGGGCAUAACUUGAGUACUGUAGGGGUAACUGGAAUUCCUGGUGUAGCGGUGAAAUGCGCAGAUAUCAGGAGGAACACCGAUGGCGAAGGCAGGUUACUGGGCAGUUACUGACGCUGAGGAGCGAAAGCAUGGGUAGCGAACAGG
rnacentral:rRNA from 1 species